AGCUGCUCCAGGAGAAGGAGUCGAGUCAUGUCCAGCAGCUGCAGGUCCUGCAGACUGUGGUGUGUGAGAAAGACGUUCGUUUCCAAGAGCAGAUUCAGAAACACGAAGAGGAACUGUUGAGGCUCACGAACCAGAACCAGAACGAGAUGCAGCAGACUCUGCAGGCGGCCCAGCAGAGGUGCCACGAGCUGGAGGCGGCUUUAAGCUCUCGCUCUCUGGAGCUGGAGAUGCUGCAGCAGGAAGUGAACAGUGCAGAUCAGCAGAAACAGAUCCUGACGGCUCAGUUCCGGCAGAUGGACCAGGAGCUGG